rnacentral:autocatalytically_spliced_intron from 1 species
AACCGCCCAGUACGAGAGUACGCUGGGUGGUGUGAGAGGACAAUGAGGUUGGAUUGAUCAUCCACCCUCAUUUCCUACUCGAU